rnacentral:rRNA from 1 species
CGACGUGGGUAACCUGCCUCGUACAGGGAGAUAACAGUUAGAAAUGACUGCUAAUACCGCAUGAGCGCACAGUGCUGCAUGGCACAGUGUGAAAAACUCCGGUGGUAUGAGAUGGACCCGCGUCUGAUUAGCUGGUUGGCGGGGUAACGGCCUACCAAGGCGACGAUCAGUAGCCGACCUGAGAGGGUGACCGGCCGCAUUGGGACUGAGACACGGCCCAG